rnacentral:rRNA from 1 species
GUGAGGAAUUUUCCGCAAUGGGCGAAAGCCUGACGGAGCAAUGCCGCGUGAAGGAUGAAGGCCUAUGGGUUGUAAACUUCUUUUCUCAGAAAAGAAUUAUGACGGUAUCUGAGGAAUAAGCAUCGGCUAACUCUGUGCCAGCAGCCGCGGUAAGACAGAGGAUGCAAGCGUUAUCCGGAAUGAUUGGGCGUAAAGCGUAUGUAGGUUGUUUAAAAAGUAUUCUGUCAAAGAUUAGGGCUUAACCCUAGAUAGGCAGAAUAAACUUUUAAGCUAGAGUUUGGUAGAGGCAGAGGGAAUUCCCGGUGGAGCGGUGAAAUGCGUAGAUAUCGGGAGGAACACCAAAGGCGAAGGCACUCUGCUGGGCCAAUACUAACACUGAGAGACGAAAGCGAGGGGAGCAAAUGGGAUUAGAAACCCUUGUAGUCC